AUGACUGGAACCAUCAGCUCGGUUGGUGAUGGGUCCUCUGGAGAAGAAGGAAAAGGCAACAAGGCUGAUGAAGGGAACAACCACCAUCACCAGCAGCAGCAGAAGCAGAACUUCAUGACAAUGGUGAAGAAGGCGGUUUCUGAACGGCCGGCAGAGCCACCAAGCAUCUGCGAGGUCCCCAAGGACCUCAUUGAGGGCAACAAGGGUGCCUACACCCCCAAAGUCGUCGGCAUCGGCCUGCUCCUGGACGACAGUUGGCGCACAUCGACGAGCAUGGUCAGGCUGGAGCGCUACAAGUGGUGCUGCGUCCGCAAGCUCGUCAUGGGGCGCCACCCAGACCCAGCCAGCUGGUCGAGGGAGGUACACGAGCCGCUGCUUGGCAAGUGCUUCGACCUGAUGGUGGGCUUGGUGCCGCAAAUUCGUGCCUCCUACAGCAGCGUUGCUUCCGACACGAGCAGUGAAGAUGUGGCGAUCAAGAUGCUGCUCGACAGCUGCUUCGUCCUCCACCGCCUGCUCAAGCACGCAGGAAAAGGAAAAGGCAACAACGACUACGACGACGAUGACUGGAACCAGCAGCUGGGCCGGUGCUGGGUCUGGGGAACCGUGAAGCGUGACCUACUGCUGCUCAGCAACCAGGUUCCCUUCUUUGUCCUCCAGGCGCUGUUCAAGCAGCUGGGGAAUGACCGCGGCACGGGCGACAUCCUUGUCAACUGCGGCCUCCAGCUCUUGAGCUCGCUACGUCCUGGCCGGCUGCACAACGCACCCAUCAUCUGCGGUGACGUGCACCAUCUCCUCCACCUAUUCUACCUCUCAAUCGACCUGCCGCCCCGGGACUGGGAGCCCUCCAACACCAAGACACGGGGAAUCCGCUCCAACUUGAGCCGCCCGCCUGUAAAGCGACGACCGCCGAAUUCGAAGCCGGCCCACGACUCCAUCUCCAGGGAGCUUCUGGCAGUGCCAGAGGCAGAGCUCACGUGGUGGGUGCCUUGCGCCAAGGAGCUGGAGGAGGCCGGCGUUCGGAUCCGUGCACGCAGGUACGGCGCCAAGAGCUUCCUGGACGUCAGGUUCCGCCGGCGCCGAGGCAUCCUAGAGAUCCCGCCGCUGGAGCUCUUCGACUACAGCGUACCCUUGUUCCGGAACCUGAUCGCGUUCGAGCAGACCUACCCAUCCACGCCGGGCCGCAUAACGGCAUACGCCAUCUUCAUGGACUGCCUCCUCAAGACGCCACAGGACGUGCGCCUCCUCCACCAGAGCGGGGUGCUACUGAACCACAUGAACGGCCAGAGAGGCGAAACCGCCAUGGGGUUCUUCAGUAGCCUCUGCGCGGAGGCGCACACAUCUGCCGACCGCAACUACCUUGCCGGCGUGAUGGAUCAGGUGCUCAAGUACCAGAAAAGAAAGUGGCCCCGUUGGCGUGCCGCUCUGGUGAGCGGCUACUUCACCAAUCCGUGGGUGACCACAUCGGUCGUCGCCGCUGUGAUCUUGCUCACCAUGACAGUGCUGCAGUCAUUCUACGCUGUCUAUGGGUACUACAAGCCAUCCAAGUAA
rnacentral:rRNA from 1 species